rnacentral:rRNA from 1 species
UACGGAGGGGGCUAGCGUUGUUCGGAAUUACUGGGCGUAAAGCGCACGUAGGCGGCUUUGUAAGUUAGAGGUGAAAGCCCAGGGCUCAACCCUGGAAUUGCCUUUAAGACUGCAUCGCUUGAACAUCGGAGAGGUAAGUGGAAUUCCGAGUGUAGAGGUGAAAUUCGUAGAUAUUCGGAAGAACACCAGUGGCGAAGGCGGUUCUCUGGGACGGUACUGACGCUGAGACGCGAAAGCGUGGGGAGCGAACAGG